UUUUAAUAGUUUAACAAAAACAUUGGUCUUGUAAAUCAAAAAUAAAAACUAUUUUUUUUUAAAACU
rnacentral:tRNA from 1 species